rnacentral:sRNA from 1 species
AUAUCUGUGUACCUAAAACAAAGGUUCUUAGUAUCUUGUAUACUGUAGUUUAUACUUUAAAAACAAUUUAUGUGUAUAGAUGUUUUACCUGCAUGUAUGUCUGUAUAACAUAUGCAUGCUUGGUGAGGUUGUCAGAUCAUCUGGAACUAGAGUUACAGAGACUUGUGGGCCACAACAUGGGUGCUGGAAGUUGAACCUGGGUCUUCUGGGAGAGCAGCUAGAACACUCUUAUCUGGUAAGCUAGUUCUCUAGCCCCCAAGAUUUUAUAUUUCAAUUUGAUUUUUCAAAAAAGUUUGAGUUUGUUUAGAAUUUCCCCCUACAACAGAAAUGACAGCCACAGUGCACGUGCACAUGCACAGAGAGACACAAAGCAGCUGCAGAGCAGCAAGUGAGGCUGUUUCUGCUGACAGGGAUAAAAACAUGGGAGAACAAAACCUUAGUAAAUGCUUAGUCUGUGGACUUUUGUUCUAAUGAGCAAUGGUUUUAUCCCAGACUGCAAUGAAGGUUUCUGAGCACAUCCUUUUGUUUCCAGUUUCUUACUGUGAGGGCUUCUGCUGUCUUCUGGCUGAGCGUUUGGGUGGUGGCACCUCUGAUAUAGAAGGAAUCCCUUAACAUGCCCAGACUGCCUCUGCCUUGGACGUCAUCCAGUAAUUAAAGUCAAGCAGACCAAAGGGAGGAAACCUGCAAGUCGGGGAGGCAUUCUUUGUGUCUCUUGUCUUUCUCCAAACGCUCUGAUAAGGCUACUUCCUUGCCUCAUGAACCCAGCUUGUUAAGCUGCUGAAAUGAAGGGAGAGAUAAGGGAAGGGAGAUGAACAAGCCAGGACCUGAGGCUGGAACUCUUGAGGGUGGGAGCCUCUGGGCAUGGGCUGCAGGUUCAUGUUGGUGCAGACAGGCUGUGCUAAAGACUGUGAUUAUAGGCUGCUCCUGCAGGUGAGUAAGGCUGGGGGUGUACAUUCCAGCCUGCUUUGAGGUCAGAAAGGAUGCUUCCAGUUUCCCGCCGUUCAUCUAAUUUAUUUCUCUUGCUCAGCUGUGGAGAUACAACGGCAGGGGAGUGGCCCUUUCACUAUGAUUGGCGAUUCCUUUUCAUGGGACUGGAAUGCCUCCAGUCUUACUGUUUAAUCACAACGCCCCAGGUAUUCUAGGUAGAAUAAAUGCAUUUGAACUAGGAAGACUUGGAAUCCAAUGUGUCCCUCUGCCAGGACAGAUGCAUGUGGAGCUGAUGUUGGACAAUCUGCUAGAGUCACUGUAUGUUCAUUCCAGUGAGAACAGGUCCUGGGACUGCCAAGACCUCCGUCAUGGUACAUAUUUUUUUUCCCCUCGUGAAUAUCCUGCUAGAAUCAUCUCUGAAUAUGGGUCAUUGUUCACAAGGAACACUUACUGUGGUGGUUUGAAUGAGAAUGGCUCCAUAUAUAUUUAAGUACUUGGCCCUCAAUUGGUGGAAAUAGUUGGGAAGGAUUAGGAGGUGUGUCCUCAUUAGAGGUGGUAUGCUGUAGGGAAGGAUUUUGAGGUUUCAAGUGACUAAUCAUUCUGAGAUUCUGUUUCUUUUCUUGUGGUUUUGUCUUAAGAGGUCAGCUCUCAGUUACUGCUCUAAGGCCAUGCCUGCCUGCCUGCUUGCUGCUAUGCUUCUUGCCUUGAUGGUCUUCCGAGAAAGAAUACCAUCUUCUUCAAGGAUUCUUAUAGGUGCUGUGUGUAGCAUGGCAAAGAAUGGGAAGCUUGGAAGAAUGACCAGUGAAGGACAGGUGAUACUUCUGUUGUGGUUUGAACGUGAAGUACUUCUAGGAUCUUGUGUUUGAAUACUCAGUCCAAGGCUAUUAGUUCUGCAUUUCGAGGCUAUGGGGCCUGGCCACAGGCUUUGAAGAGUCGCAUGUAGCAUUCCAUUUCCUCCCCAGAAGAGGGAAGGCAUUUACUUCCUCUCUUUAAAUCCAAGGUGACAUUUCCUGAGAAAGUAGCCUUUUCCAUUUUUUCCUGUGGUCCGUGUGGCACCUGACCCUCAAGCAGAGAGACGUGGUGACCUUGCGAGUCCUUGAGCAGUACAUCUCAGUCGCAGUGUCCUAUGGAUUAAAAAGGAGCUGCUGUGUUCUUCCCGGACAGUUGUAUGCUCUCAACACUUUCUCCCCAGCAUCCCCUCAAAGGGGAGACUCUAAUUAGUCAAAGAAUCUUUCCUGCCGGGUGUGACAUUUUCUCAGACAUGAUGUCACCUUCCAAAAUUUCUUGGCUCACAGAAGGAAAUGUGAAACAUGUUGACGUUAGGCUGAAGAUUAAUUGGGUUCUAAUUUUUAAUUUUGGAAAUCUUCUUGGUCCUUUUGAGUGGCAGCUGAGAUCAAGCUUGUGAAUAUAUUGGAAUAAAUUACCUAAGGGGACACUAUCUUUAGGAACUUUGUGAUGUUAAUGAAACUGUCAUGCAAAUAUGAAGUGGUUCCUGGGCAAACUAUGAUACACACUCUGAACAUUGUGUCAGGUUUCAGUCUGGGAUUCAAUGAAAUUUAGAUAAAACCGAACUGAAUUAUCCCAGUGUUUGAGGUUUCAGGCAUUUGUUUCAGAACUUUUUAGACAGUCUCAAAUUUCUGGAAGGCUUUUGGAAAAUUGUCUGGCUGUGUGAUUUAUUGUUACUAUUUUCAAGUUUAUGAGUUUUAAACUUUAACCCAAUAUAGAAAUCUGGUAAUUCUAGUAAUUAUUAGUGUAUACAUUUUGAAAUUAAGCAAUGCAAGUUUAACUCAAAUUUAUUUUUACAUUUUUCAUAUCCAAAUAAAUGUAUAAACUAUGUGUGAACCAAUGUUUUAGCUUUGAAUUUAAAGUUAAUGCUUUUUAAUAAUGCUAAAAUUUAAAAGUAACUUUGAAGUACAAAUAUUCACAUAUACACAUUAUAGAUAGCACAUAUAUAAUUACAGUUGUUUCAUCCAUAGGAAAUGAAGCAGAGAGUACUUUAAUAAAAUGUUUCUCACAUUUGUUGUGAGACUUAAUUAUAUGUUAAUACCAAGAAUAGCAUCUCUCCUGCUAAUUAUAACAAUACCUUUUAGGAGUGGAAAUGAUUUUCCUUAGAUAUAGUGCUAAGUGUAUGUAAUAAUGUUAAGAUAAACUAUUAUGAAAACACUCUGGGUGGUUUACAGAAGAGGAUGGCAUCAUGAGGAUGUCUGUCUGAGAGUUUCUCUGUACUUGGAAGUUUAUGAGACCUUUUUACUUAGGAGUUGCAGAAAGGUCAGCUCCAAGGACUUCUCACUAAGCAAGUGUUCAGAAAUUUUGUGCCAGAUGCCUUACCAAGGGCUAUAGACAAGCAAUCACAUUAUGGAGCUCCGUAGCAGAAUUUACAUGCAAAAUAGAAAUCAAGGUGUAAACUGACCUAGGAAUAGAGUAUGCUCAUGUGGUACAAGGCAUUUGUGCCCCAGAAAAUGAACACAAAGUAAAGAGCUAGGGAUCCUCUCUGUGCCAAAUGCUGGCAUGUUCAGAUCUGCACAAAGUUCAGAACCAGUUCUGGAGCCUCCAUUGCUGAAAAGGUAAUAAGGGAGUGUUCAGUGCACACAAGAGGGGAUGAAGAAAUUGGCAGGACACUGCUGUUUCCAUUGCCCAGAUUCAUGCCUCCAUGUCUGCUCUAUAAAUCAUGGUACAAUGCUCACAUGGCAUGGCUAGCAUCUGAUAGGAAGAUGAGGUUCAGGAUCAGAUAGAUCCUGGGGGACAGGUUCGGAGGCUUAGAGUUAAUCCUUCCCUUGAUAGAAAGCUUGUGGAGGUUAAACAGGUAACCCAGACCACUGCGUUUACAGUUGAAAGAAUGUGGUUUCCAGGUGUAAUGCAUGGGACGGGGGAUUAUAAACAAUGCCAUUUUUAAACCAAAGCAAAGAAUUGCAAGAUAGACCCUGUCUGCUCCAAAUAUACACAAUGAUAGUUAUUAUUGGUGGAGGAAGAAAGUUAUUGGUUGUAGGUUAUUACCUUGGUGCUAAAGGGGUAGGGGGCAGAUCCUUGAUGUAUUUGGGGGCUGAUAUCAUUAGUAUUUGCUGAACAUAAAUUUAUAAACAACACAAGGGUAAAGAAAGAAACAAAGUACUUUACUUGUCUCUGAGAAAAUGGGCUAAGUCAUGUCUCACUUAAGGGUUUAAGAUACAGAUAAUUUAAAGUCAUCUGAACUUACCAGAAUCUCGAUUUGUUCUUGUAAACCCAUGAAAAUCCCCAAGUGGCCAUCACUCAGCUAAUACCACCCUUUCAUCUUACCACCCAACACGUUGCCUCAGAGGGAACCCAGACUCAUCUUUAACUAACUUAUUAGGGGAGUAUAUAGACAUUUUGCUCCUAUGUCCUAAGUUUCUGUUGAAGGCUUUUACUUGUUUCACUCAAAGUGUGCCUUAUUUUACCAGCAAAGAAAGAUGGCCUGAGACAUAAAAGUGUUGCAAACAAUGAUCCCUUUUAAAGGACUAGCUGCACAUGUGUUGAUGGUGGUGCUAGGAUGGAGACACGUUGCUGAUGUCUGUGUAUGUGCCUGUGUCCAAAAACAAAUCUAAAAUGUCUGAGACGAAGGUCGAGCAGUGGAGAGGAGGAAACCUGACUCCAGCAUGUAAAGUGUGUAAUACAUUUGAUGAUGGAAGUGUGCAAAGUGAAACCCUCCAUCAGGACACAUGUGGCGAUCCCUUACUGCCUUAGCAGGAUGGACCAGGAAUCAGAAACAGACCCUUGGACUCAAGGAAGUUAGCCCAUUUUCCCCCUGAGCCUUAAUUUCAUUCCUUAUUGAAGGUGAGUAGUAAUAUCUACUUGACCAGUUUGCUAGAAAAUUCCCAAGAUCUGUUUGAAGGGCUCAACAUCUCUAUUUUUUUUUAGGGAUGGUCCCUUUGUUAUUAAGAUGUUAAAUAGGUGGCUGGAGAAAUGGCUGGGAGAUGAACACUGGCUCCUCUUCCAGAAGACCUGAGUUCUAUUCCCAUUCCCCACAUAUCAGUUAACAACUGUAACUUCAGUCUCAGAGGAUCCAUGGGCACUAGAUGCCAAUGUGGAAUACAUUGCAUGAUGCAGACAAAAUAACCUCAUACACAUAAAAUGAAUAAAAUAAAAUAUGUCUUUAAAUUUUUUAAAAAUUUUUGAAAAAGAUAUUAAGAAGGAUGAUGUAGUCAUUACUUGUUUCAGACACGGACUGAGCCGAGGACUAGUGACAACUGCUCUGUACCAGGUUAACUGACAGACACACUGGAUGAAACUAUCUUUGCUUUUUGGUCCAAUAUGGUUUAAAGAUUUCCAAAUGCUACAGAAACUGGAGUUUAAAGAAAAUAAAUCAGGAUUUUGAGAAGGCCUAAGAAAGGAGUAAAGGCUCACUGGAACCUUAGCCAAGGUAGACAGAAUUGGUAAGUAAGUCAUAAAGGGAGUCUGAAAGGAGAAAAAUAUAGGCCUGAAACUGCACCAGUUACCUAGAAAGUAAGUUGUGUGUACAGAACAGGUAUGUGGUUGAAAGGGCACACACAUGUAAGACAGAAGAAGGAGGGGCUUAGACUUGGCUCCAAAAAAGAAACAGACAAAUAUUGUGACGUCUGUAAAGGAAGUUGUGCAACACCUUUCCAUCCUAUUACUUGUAUACAAAACAUAUGUAUAUGUAUAUGAGCAUUUGUCAUAAUAUUUACAGUGUGUGUUUGACCCUAUUUCCCUCUGGUAAAUAGUCAUUUUUAAAAAGUAACUUCACUGACACUAAAGUGCACCUAUCAUGUUCUUCAAUGCAUAUAUUAAAAGUAAUUAAUAGUGCACAUUUCAGUAGGCAGUUAUGUUUAUUUAUUUAAAAUUUUAUUUGUGUGUAUGUAUGUAUAUACACUCAUAUUACAAUGUAUGGAUAGAUGUCAGAGGACAGCUUAUGUGAUCAGUUCUCUCCUUCCACCUUAUGUGUCCCAGGGAUUACACUAAGGUUGUCAGGCUGGGCUGAAAGCCCUUAUCUGCUGAGCUGGCCCACUGGUCCCUUAACAGACAUUUAAACCUGUUCAUUCAUCAUCAGAAUCUAGUAGAAACAUAAAGAUUACUUCUCAAAAAAUUCCCGAGUCUCUUUUGUAAUGACUUCCUCCUACCCUCUUCCUCACCUUUCUAGGCAAACCCGGUGAACCUUCUUCCCACUGGAAAUUAGCUUCAAUUUUUUAUAGCUGUACAUUAACAGAAUAAAACAUUAUGUCCUUGUAUUAGCAUAUACCACUUGAACAAAUUAAUGGGUUUCAUUGUGACAUCUUCGUAAAUGCAUUCAUGAUACUGCUUCUAGGCAUAUGCCCUGUGAUAGCUUGAAUGAGAAAUGCAUCCCACAGGAUCUGGACUUGAACACGUGGUAUCACUGUCUAGGGAUGUAUAGCCUAAUGUCAAUGAGGGCAGACUUUGAGCGUUCAUAGCUUUCCCUCAAUUCCAGCUCAUUCUUUCUGCUUUGUGUUCCUGGUUGAAGAAAUGAACCCUCAGCUUCCAGAUCUGACCACCUCCUGCUGUGCCUUUUCCCUGAGCCCUCUGUACCCCACCGUUAUAGACUCCCCUUCUGGAACUAGACAACAAAAUUAACCUUUCCUUUUAUAUGAUGCUUCUGGUCAUGGCAUUUCAUCACAACAACAAUGUACUACAAAUCCUAAGGAGGUAAUUCUGUUUUCUGGUGGACUUCUUCACCCAACGUGAAUAACUGAGACCCAUCCAGACUGUAACAUUAUCAAUCACUGCCCUUAGGUACUAAGUAGUGGUCCAUUUUGUGAGUGCAAUGUUACUAUUUAUCCAUCAUCCUGCUGACAAAUGUAGGAUUUGUUUCUGGUUUGAAGAAAGCCAUUCCUUCAGCAUACUUUCAGAGAUCUAUUUCUUCACAUUGUGAUUUCAAAUCUCAGGAAAAGUGGGGAAUAUAUCUCUGAGUUGACUUUCAUACCAAAGAAUAAAAGGAUUUGGUUCUUGGUUAUCUCAUGUACCUAAUGUUGGUGAUCCAAGAGUAGCUUAGCACUUUCAGUUAUCCUAAGCUUCUCACAGGACUGUUACCUAAGGGCUACAUGAUAGAGGCUUUGUGGCCACUUGUACAUCAGAGAUGGCAUUAACAGAGCUCUGGGAGCUGUGUUUGCAACAUACUGGGCAGGUACCUUUCAACAAUGGGAGCCGCACAUGUAUUUCUUCCUACUUCUUAACUCUCCCUGCGUAACAUAGGAGGCAAAUUCAAAGUUUGAAUGAAAUUUCAUACUUUGAUCCCUCAAGUCUUGAUCCAUUUUUUGAUAUGUGAUGAUAAAUCCUGGCUUCAUUAACAAUUUAACUUUAGUUUUAAUCUACUGUCCAUUAUUAAGUCUGUGGAAGAGACCUUGAUUCAUAAGGCCACAGAGACAAACAUGACCUCGAGUGCCAGGUCUCCCAGCUCUCUGCUACUCUUAUACAUUAUUUAUUAUAUUAGAGUCAUGUCAACUUCAAAAUAAAAAUGUACUUGAGGUUAAAAAUUAAACCUCUAAGACAGUGAUCAAGUCCCAAACUUUCCUUUAGAAAUGCAAUAUCAAGAACUGUAACACUCUGGAGUAAAAUAGUUUAUUUAAGAGUUAGCAUUCACCACUUCUCUCCCAGCAUAAUCAAAACUCAACAAUAAUAUUGCUAAAUUUAUUCAUAUUUUCACAUUUUUACAAGUAGAAUCCUCAUUCUUGGUUCAUUUCAACUUUUUCACCUUACAGAGGUAACAGCCAACGUGCAGAGCUGCAUUGCCAAUGCCACUUAGAUCUAGAAUGGAAAUAGAUAUGGGGCUAUUAAAAUGAUGAAUUCCAAAAUGGAGCUGUAUUAGAAUAUGCAUGAAAGUCCAAAGCUUCUUUAGAGUGUUCAAGGGAUUCCAAAUCCUUUCUGGAGAGUUUGAGAUGUUAUGAAUUUGUUUCUGCCUUAUUCAUCUUGUACAAUUCAAUAAGCUACUUCAAAUAAAUGGAUAAAAUUAAAAAUCAUUUCUAGGGCCACCUCUAGUGGAGUAAGAUCAGUGAUGAGCUUUCCCAUUAAGUUCCAAGGGUGCAGAGAAUAUAUUAGCUUGCUGUUGUCUCCACUGUGUAUCAGCAUGUGGCAGUACCAAUGAGAAUGGAGUUGUUUACCCAUCCUGUCCUAAUUGCCCCCCUAGGCUGUUGCCAGCAGAACCGGCUUUCUGACUGUAAUGAGCAGUGAAGGUCUUGGCACCUCCUUCCAGGGUCUGAAUGGUGGCCCAGCCUGGGCUUUGCCAGUACAAGCAGUGGUGGUGUUUAAUAAAGAUGAGCAUCCUUGUAGAGCCUGUCUCUAAAAUUAACUCUGCAAUCAGAACUUACUCCUAGUCACUUAGUGUUUCAGAUAUUAACAAACAUUGAAGUUUCUAUGAAAAUAUUCAAAUAGGGAUAAGUGACCGCAAAGCAUUGUCAAGAUUUCAUGUUGUAGCAUAUUUUAUCCAGUGAUCGUAGGAGAAGCACUUGCAUCCAGAUAGUUUAAAAAUGCUCUCUGACACAGGUUUUGGGGUUUGCUCUAGAGUUAUAAGUGGGCCUAGUGUGUUUCUUCCCAGGGUCUGGUACACCAUAAAUAUGGGGAGGAAUCUCUGCAGGCCCACCUGUUUCCCAAACUCCCUGCUGUGUUCUGGCCUUAAGAAGAAUUUAGUGAGUUGGAGAGACGAUUCUGAAAAUGGAAUAUCCAACUGUUCACUUUUAAUUUCAUCAUGGCCUUCGUGGUUCAGCUCAUAUAUCAGCCUAUAAAUGGUUAGGGAACAGUGAGGCCAAUGCUCCAGACACAUAAAUCUCAUUGUCCCUUAUUUCAAAUUACCUUUGUCCCCACUCUCCUUUAAUAUAUCAUCUCCAUGCCAACAUCCCUUGUAACUCUCAGACUUUGGAAACCUUGAACUUUCUAAGUUUGAUUGUCCCAUGCCCUCCUUACCUACCCUCAAUUUCAAGAUUUCUGUCAUGUUGGUCUACUCUGGUCUCCUGGCCUGUCAAUCUCCACUUGACUUCUUUGUAUCUCCAUUUCCUCUUGCCAACUUCGGAAAUAAUUUUGGUUGUACACUCACAAGAGCAUCUCGCUUUCUCCAUUUGCUUUAUUUGACUUUUACAAAGCAACUUUAAAAUCAACUCAAACACUCUUUUCCUAGUCUUGAUUUUACUUGAAAAGAUAAUUUAGUGGAUGGAAGCUCUUCAGCAUAGCAUAGGUGCCUUUAAAUGAAGAGCAAAUUCCGAGCUUUUGGGCUAAUA